UGUCGUCAGCUCGUGUCGUGAGAUGUUGGGUUAAGUCCCGCAACGAGCGCAACCCUUGCCAUUAGUUGCUACAUUGAGUUGGGCACUCUAAUGGGACUGCCGGUGACAAACCGGAGGAAGGUGGGGAUGACGUCAAGUCCUCAUGGCCCUUAUGGGUAGGGCUUCACACGUCAUACAAUGGUCGGUACAGAGGGUUGCCAACCCGCGAGGGGGAGCCAAUCCCAGAAAGCCGAUCGUAGUCCGGAUUGCAGUCUGCAACUCGACCGCAUGAAGUCGGAAUCGCUAGUAACCGCGGAUCAGCAUGUCGCGGUGAAUACGUUCCCGGGCCUUGUACACACCGCCCGUCACACCAUGGGAGUGGGUUUCACCAGAAGUGGGUAGCCUAACCGCGAGGAGGGCGCUUACCACGGUGAGAUUCAUGACUGGGGUG
rnacentral:rRNA from 1 species